rnacentral:rRNA from 1 species
GGGCAACCUGCCCAAAAGAGGGGGAUAACACUUGGAAACAGGGUGCUAAUACCGCAUAACCAUAGUUACCGCAUGGUAGCUAUGUAAAAGGUGGCUAUGCUACCGCUUUUGGAUGGGCCCGCGGCGCAUUAGCUAGUUGGUGGGGUAAAGGCUUACCAAGGCAAUGAUGCGUAGCCGAACUGAGAGGUUGAUCGGCCACAUUGGGACUGAGACACGGCCCAAACUCCUACGGGAGGCAGCAGUAGGGAAUCUUCCACAAUGGGCGAAAGCCUGAUGGAGCAACGCCGCGUGGGUGAAGAAGGUCUUCGGAUCGUAAAACCCUGUUGUUAGAGAAGAAAGUGCGUGAGAGUAACUGUUCACGUUUCGACGGUAUCUAACCAGAAAGCCACGGCUAACUACGUGCCAGCAGCCGCGGUAAUACGUAGGUGGCAAGCGUUAUCCGGAUUUAUUGGGCGUAAAGGGAACGCAGGCGGUCUUUUAAGUCUGAUGUGAAAGCCUUCGGCUUAACCGGAGUAGUGCAUUGGAAACUGGGAGACUUGAGUGCAGAAGAGGAGAGUGGAACUCCAUGUGUAGCGGUGAAAUGCGUAGAUAUAUGGAAGAACACCAGUGGCGAAAGCGGCUCUCUGGUCUGUAACUGACGCUGAGGUUCGAAAGCGUGGGUAGCAAACAAGAUUAGAUACCCUGGUAGUCCACGCCGUAAAC